AAAAAAGAAAAAAAAGAAAAAAAACUUAGAAGGAAUGGGAGUCGAAAGUGCCGCGACUCCCCCUUCAAUCCGUAAAGCAAGGUUCUUCGAUUUGAGCUACUUCAUUGUUCAUUCCAUCGAUCGAAACGAUCGAUGAUUUAUUAAGAAGAAGAUAAUGGAUUACUACAAGAUAUUGGAGUUGAACAAGAACGCAACCAAAGAGGAAAUCAAAGAAGCCUACAAGAGAUUGGCUCUCAAAUAUCACCCUGACAAGCAUUCCCAAUCUCCUCAACUGGUCAGAGAAAACGCUACCCUCCGUUUCAAACAACUCUCCGAGGCCUACCAAAUCCUCGCUGAUGACCGGAAACGUGCCGAUUAUAACAUUCGCUCCUCCUCCUCCUCAUUCUCCUCUGGUUAUAAUAAUCAUAGACAUGCUCAUGGUUAUGGCUACGGUUAUGGCUACAAUUACCAUUCUUAUCAGAGCCAGAAUAGAAAAGCCGAUGGUGGUUUUGUCUCCAAGUUCGAUGUUGCACUUCGCUACUUAACCACUCGUGCUUUUCUUCUCAAUCUUGCCUUUGCUGGUGCUUUAAUUGGCGGGAUGGUGAUAAUAGAUAAGAGCAGGGAGGCACUGUGGAAAAUGCACAAUUCUGGGGUAAGUCACUGAAUCUAAUGAUUUAACAAGUGAUUGACUCAUAUUCAUAUAUUUCCGUUUGUUAUCAUUCAUUGAACAGUUAACCAUCCAAGUCAUCUUAUUACUUGUCACUGUGCUGUGAUCGCUUCUGUAUAGUUGAUGAGACACAAAUCACUGCUUUAUGCAACUGCUUUUAAUACUUCGUUGCAUAGAAAGUUUAUUAUACGCUUGUUCUUUCAAACUCCUGUGAUCAUGAUACAUACUUUUUUGCCUUCAUGGAGCAAGUGUUUGUUAACUUAACUAGUGAGGCCUUAAUUAUCAAUUUACUUCAUGGCUUGCUGUUUGAUAAAUGAUGUAUGAACUGAGACUAACCCUAAAUUGCUUCAGUGUUUACCACUGGAUAUAAAGUACAAGAUUUCUUUGUCUUUUUGUUUAUGGGUUACAUGUUUGAAUAGUGACACUGCCAGGCUAAUUUUGCACCAUGAAAAUGAGCAAGAUUAUGCUUCCUUCUAAGGUUUAUGUUAGUAUAACUAUUUAAAUCUUUUGAAACAUUCAUGCAGGGGCAUGUUGGGAUCAUGUCGCUGAGAUCAUUAGUGACCUGCAAAUCACUCACAUUCAUUUAGAACUGUAUAAUGCUUCCAUUACACAAUUAUAAUGGGGAAUGCAGAGUUGUUAUUAACAUUUAGCUUAAUGUGUCUGUGUAUUUGUAUAGUCUAAUAGUUUAGAGGGUAUCAUUUUAAGAAAAAGAAAUAGCAUUUCAUCAACUGUAAAAUAAGAAACCUACAUGUACAAUUGAUGUGGGUUGGAAAUUUCAAUCCCAUUGCGGUUAAAUCAAUAACUAAUUUGUGAAGAAAUGAGAUGGCAUAAAUAAUAGUGGAGAUGACAAUACUAGUAAUUUUCCUUUGGGAAGGGUGGGCAUUUUUUAUAUUAGAUUACAUAGGUAUUUAAAGAGGCUCUUCGAAAGAAUUUUCUUCUUUUUUCCCUAGUGGAAAAAUUCUUGGCAAAUGCUAGUAGAGAUGCAAACUAAUCUAAACAAGAAAAUUCUCGAUGCAAAACCUAAAUAAGUAAAUAUUUCUAAAUAGUGAAAAAUCCUAAUUGAUAAAAUUUAUCAAAAAAACCUAAAUUAUUGAAAUUAAUAAUUAAAUGAAAUUUCCUUCUUGAUGCAUAUGCAUAUAAUUUUUGCUGUAACUAUUAUAGGGAAAACGAAUUGCUUUGUGAAAAAUAUUAGAAAUGAGUUAGGGUAUUUGGGCAUUCAAAGAGGCUAAACUAAAAGCUUGUCUAGUUGCUUGGAUUUGCAUGUUUAAACACUAGACUGUGUUUGUUUCAUAGAAUAGCAUGAAAAAUAAUGAGAGUAAAAUAAUUAUUCGUUGAAUAGCUAUUCUUAACUUUAGUUCAAAUUUUAAUCUAAAAUAUUAGUUCAUGGAAUAGUAUUUUAUAAUUAUAAUUUUUUUUUUAUUUUUAAUAUAUAU
rnacentral:misc_RNA from 1 species